UACGAAGGGUGCAAGCGUUACUCGGAAUUACUGGGCGUAAAGCGUGCGUAGGUGGUUCGUUAAGUCUGAUGUGAAAGCCCUGGGCUCAACCUGGGAAUUGCAUUGGAUACUGGCGAGCUAGAGUGCGGUAGAGGAUGGCGGAAUUCCCGGUGUAGCAGUGAAAUGCGUAGAGAUCGGGAGGAACAUCCGUGGCGAAGGCGGCCAUCUGGACCAG
rnacentral:rRNA from 1 species